UCUUUGCUGCUGUCAUAUGAAGAAGGACAUGUUUGCUUCCACUUCCACCAUGAUUGUAAGUUUCCUGAGGCCUCUCCAGCCGUGCCAAAUGGGUAUGUUUGCUUAGAGAUUCUUUGCAGUCCACCUGUUGAAUCCCAUUUCCACUAGGACACUGCCUCCUUUUCCACACUAGAUGGCCCUUUAAGCCCAGAACUACUGCAGGAACAUACCAGGAAAACAGAGAAUUCACAGACCCUUCAAAAGAAGCAGCUUGCUGCUGCAAACUCUGUGGGACAGCCGAAAAACUGUGAGUGCCCAACGUGUGAGAGGGGGAAAGUCCACCUCCAAACACACAUCCUCACUGGGAAACCUGAAAAUCCAGAUCGCAGGAAAAGGAUAUAACUUUACCUAGAGCUGGAAUGAAUUUAGGGAGCUGAGCAAAAUAUAAAAGUAGAAGCAGCAGCGGAAAGAACCCUCAAGCCAAAGACAAAAGACCUUAACUUGUGGGAUCUCUUCGACCCUGCCC